AUUCUAGUACAACGUCAAAAUAUUUCACUGGUGAUGGAAGUGAUGUUGAGAGAGAGAUCACGUUUUAGAAAUCUAAGGUAAUAUUCCCAUUUUUGGAUAGUUAAAGACCUAGUCAAAAUUAUAGCUUGGCCCACAAAGUCUGAUGUUGGAACUCUGCCAAGUGUGAAGACGUAUUCUUCCAUCACGGUAAGGAUAUGUGGAUGAGAAGAACCACAACACAAUGAAGACAACAGUCAAAGUAUGUUAUCAAGUGUCAUGCCUGGGGGAAAGCCUGGCUGUCUAUGCAGAGGCUCUGGAAGAGAAAUUAGGUUGCUGACUGGCUGGAGAUAAUUUGCUCUAUGUAAUUCUGAAGACAUCAUUUCAGUGAAGAUCUCUUCUUGUAAUUCUUCAAGACGUUUUUCUUUGAGGGGAUCAUGCUAACAAAAUGGAAAAAUGCUUCUGACAUCUAAAAGAGUAUCUUUGCCAUCCAUCCUUUUGUUGUAGCUAUUAAAAUGUGUAGAUGCAAAAUUCUGACUCCAAUUACAAUGUGUGUGGAGGGUUUCCACACCACUAAGCAAUUCUUGGACACCAGCUGGGUGUCAUAUACUUCAACUCAAUUCUGACACUAUCUACCUGGAGAUGGUGUCAGAUCCCACAGGUUAAGGGUUCAGUGAUACAAGACUGCACCCCGCCCCUUUCAGAUGCCAACUGCAAGUCCAGGUUGUCACCUGUGCUUCUGACGGACUGGCUAUAGAUCGGAGGUUCCAGUGACCGCUCCUUGGGUUUGAUUACUUCACUAGA